GACGAACGCUGGCGGCGUGCUUAACACAUGCAAGUCGAACGGAAAGGCCCUGCUUGCAGGGUACUCGAGUGGCGAACGGGUGAGUAACACGUGGGUGAUCUGCCCUGCACUUCGGGAUAAGCCUGGGAAACUGGGUCUAAUACCGGAUAGGAGCCAUUUUUAGUGUGAUGGUUGGAAAGUUUUUUCGGUGUAGGAUGAGCUCGCGGCCUAUCAGCUUGUUGGUGGGGUAAUGGCCUACCAAGGCGGCGACGGGUAGCCGGCCUGAGGGGGUGGACGGCCACCUUGGCUCUGAGAGACGGCCCGGACGCCCACGGGACGGAGCAGUGGGGAAGAUUGUACAAUGGGCCCAAGCCUGAUGCAGCGACGCCGCGUGGGGGAGGACGGACUUCGGGUUGUAAACUCCUUUCGCUAGGGACGAAGCUUUGUGUGACGGUACCUAGACAAGAAGCACCGGCCAACUACGUG
rnacentral:rRNA from 1 species